rnacentral:tRNA from 1 species
CUUAGCUAAGUCGGUAGAGCGCAGGCUUGUUAAGAGUGAAGUUGCAGGCUCAAGUCUGGGUG